GGAAGGAUCAUUAACACGAUUGUCCAUUUGAAGAUGAUUUUGAGUUGAAGGAUUCUCGGCCUAGUUUUCUACUAGGUUAAAUUUCUUUCUUUUCAAUUUCAUCUUUCAAACAUUUUGCGAAACGUUGAAGUUCUCAACAAGUUUUUUCAAACUUAUUGUUUUACGAAAAAAUACUAGAGAAAUCACGUUCAAUAAUGAAUGAUUUUUCAUUUUAUUAUUGACUGUUUUGUAUUAAGUUACGAACUAAAAAAAACAAAAAACAUAACCAAGACAACUUGUAACAGUGGAUACCUUGGUUCCCAGGUCGAUGAAGAGCGCAGCGAACUGCGAUAAGUCAUGUGGAUUGCAGAACUCCGUGAAUCAUUGAACUCUUGAACGCAAAUUGCACUUGGGUGUUGAACUCAAGUGUGCCUGCUCGAGUGUCGGCAAUAAAUACUCACUCUUAAAAAAAGUGAUAUUGAGAGUUCAAAUUAUUUUUAAUUUGAUCUCUUUAAAUAAAUGGAGCAAAAUAUACAUUCACUAGAAGACUAUGGUUGUUUUCAGAACGAACGAUCUUUUAUGAAUCACAUUUUGCCAAGUGAAUUUAAGUAACACUUUAUUGAGUUACACUUUUUUCCUUGGUAGAUUCAUGAAUAAAUGUUUCAGAGUAUGACUUCAAUUUAUUCUAGAUGGGAAAUAUUUUAAUAGUUCUCCUUUCGUAAAUUGGUAGAGUUAAAAAAUCUCUGAUUCUUAUAUUUACAAAUUUAAACAUCAAUUCUCGACCUCGAAUUAGGCAAGAUCACCCGGUGGACUUAAGCAUAUUAUUAACCGGAGGAAAAGAAACUAACAAGGAUGCCCUUAGUAACGGCGAGUGAAGCGGGCAGAGCUCAAAUUUAAAAUCUGAACGUCUUCGGGCGUUCCGAAUUGUAGUUUUUGGAUCGUUAGUCACGGGAUUACUGAAUGGUGGGCGUAAGUUCUUUGGAACGAGGCAUCAUAGAGGGUGAGAAUCCCGUAUAUGGCCCCUUCAGGUAGUUCAAUACGUGUCUAGCUUUUCACGAGUCGGGUUGUUUGGGAUUGCAGCCCUAAAUAGGUGAUAGAUCUCAUCUAAAGCUAAAUAUUCCUGGGAGACCGAUAGCGAAGAAGUAGUGUGAACGAAAGGUGAAAAGAACUUUGAAAAGAAGGUGAAAAGUACUUGAAGCUGUUCCAAGGGAACCGCAUGGAACCAGUGAUUGCUUGUGGGUAAUUCAGCUGGUUGGGCAAAAACGACGUUGGCCGCACGGUGUUGUAAUUGACACGGAGCGGUUGGGUCCGUUGAGUCGAGCUAGUGUAUUUUACUCAUGAGCGUGUCAGCAUCAGUUUGCUGGUGGCGGAGAAAGGUGGAGGAAAGGUAGGUUGCACUCUCGGGUGCCACUGUUAUAGUUCUCCAUUGCAUACGUCACUGUGGACUGAGGAAACAAAACGCAUGCCUCGGCGAGGUAACGGGUGAACCCAGGAUCGUCUCGUGUGUACGUCUGCUUGCAGGGUGCCUCGAGUUUCUGGUCUUGGCGAACGCUCGUCCAUCGGUGCGUUAGGGAUGUUGACGAAAUGGUUUCAUACGACCCGUCUUGAAACACGGACCAAGGAGUCUAACAUGUAUGCGAGUAUUUGGGUGAAAAACCCGCGUGCUAAAUGAAAGUGAAUGACGUGAAGCCCGUAAAAAGGUGGCAACGUCGACCGACUGUAUUUAGAUACGGUUUGAGUCAGAGCACACAUGAUGGGACCCGAAAGAUGGUGAACUUUGCGUGCGCAGGGUGAAGCCAGAGGAAACUCUGGUGGAGGCUCGUAGAGAUACUGACGUGCAAAUCGUUCUUCUGACGUGCGUAAAGGGGCGAAAGACUAAUCGAACCAUCUAGUAGCUGGUUUACAC
rnacentral:misc_RNA from 1 species